rnacentral:misc_RNA from 1 species
GAUGAAGAACGUAGUGAAAUGCGAUAAGUAGUGUGAAUUGCAGAAUUCAGUGAAUCAUCGAAUCUUUGAACGCACAUUGUGCCCCUUGGUAUUCCAUGGGGCAUGCCUGUUCGAGCGUCAUUUGUACCUUCAAGCUUUGCUUGGUGUUGGGUGUUUGUCUCGCCUUUGCGUGUAGACUCGCCUUAAAAUAAUUGGCAGCCGGCGUAUUGAUUUCGGAGCGCAGUACAUCUCGCGCUUUGCACUCAUAACGACAGCGUCCAAAAGUACAUUUUACACUCUUGACCUCGGAUCAGGUAGGGAUACCCGCUGAACUUAAGCAUAUCAAUAAGCGGAGGA